CGAAUCUGAAAGAGAAUAAGUUGACAAAAGGACGGUCUAGGAUUUGAGUGGAAGUCUAUAAAACGACUACAACUCUAUGGAUUAGUCAGUGAAAUGUCAAAAUUAUUUGACAACAACAAAACGCAUUUACAUAUCUUUUUACACUUAAGUUACUUUAUUUCAUUAAAAAUAUAAAUAUUCUUUGGUUUAGAAUUCUAAAAUUUGGCUUUAAAUAAACCAUUAAAUGAAUUUAAAAAAAUAUAAACUAAAAAUAUCACAGUCAACUACAUCAGGCUACAUAACCUCUUCUGUGCAAUGUUUUUUGUUAAUUAAGUAAAUCUCCAACAACGAUAUUAUACGGAUGGGGUGGAGAAAAUAUGAUAAAUAAAACCAUACCUUAAUUAUCCAGGCAAAACCACCGCAGGAUAACCGAUACACGACCAAAAACAAACAACACCAGCCGAUUGAUGAAAUGUCCAGAGUACAUUAUUGACUGCCAGAUUUCCAGUUUCUCCACGAUAGUAUAAUUAUCGAUGUAAUAUUAAAACGUGCUCGCGUUGCGGGCACAAA